GGAAGUAAACGUCGUAACAAGGUUUCCGUAGGUGAACCUGCGGAGGGAUCAUUAUUGUAUAACCGAGGUGCGAGGGCUGUCGCUGACCCGAGAGGUCGUGCACGCCCGAGUGCCCUCACACACAUCCAUCUCACCCCUAUGUGCACCACCGCGUGGGUCCCCCUUUGGCUUGUUCGGAGGGGGGCUUACGUUUUCACACAAACUUUGUAUGCAGUGUAGAAUGUAUUUUUUGUUUUUGCGAUCACGCAAUCAAUACAACUUUCAACAACGGAUCUCUUGGCUCUCGCAUCGAUGAAGAACGAGC
rnacentral:misc_RNA from 1 species